UGAAUUUAUCUGCACAUUUCUGGAUAUUAUAUUUAAAUUAAUAAAGUAAAUCAAAUCACUGGUAUUUGUUGCAGGAUAACAGUCUUUAAAAAAUGAUAGGAUUCAAAACAAAUGCCCGUUGAAAGUGUAGUUUCCAAACAGUCCCCAAAACUAUACAAUAUAGCUGGUUAGAUCCAGCAAGUAGGAUGUCAUGUCUAGGAUCUGAUCAAGAAUACCUGGCCUUGUAACUCUUCGGAUGUUUCUAUCCACUUGUUCACACUGGGGGCCAAGAUAGCCUUUUUUACAUAAGCAUUUAUUAGGCCUUACACAGACACCUCCAUGUCGACAUGCUGGGUCACACUUUGCAGUUCUGCAGAACUCUCCUUCCCAGCCUUGAUUACAGCAGCAUUUUCCUGUGGGAGUGCAGUGCCCAUUCCGGCAGUGCCUUGAGCAUUCAGAUGUCAGUAUCUGUGCCGACCGAGCUGUUCUUUUGCAUUCUUCAGGAACUAAAGGCCUGUAUGAAGGCAUAUGAACCAAGCAUAUAAUUAAAAGCCAGGAACAAGGAGAAAAUCUGCUUUCACAUGUGAAAUAGAAAUUUGGAAUUUCCACUCGGUAUUAUUAUAGUUGUUUAAAGUGAAUUCUGUAAGAAUGCGUGGAGUGUAAGUAUAUUAAUGCAAUCAGAAAAAUCCAAAUCUCAUUUAAUAUGAGUGUAAUACAAAUGCUCUCAAUUGGAAACUUAAAUACUUUAUCAUGAGGCCCAUUCAUUUUCUUGUAUUUAGAAAGAUAUUGAAUGAAAAUAGAAUGCAAGCUUCGUUUUUUAUUGAAGGGUAAUUCUUUUAUAGUACUAUCAGUGGGAGAAAUCUGUGUUCUAAGAGGAUGGCUUUUUUUUUUUCUCAAAAACACCAGUGAAAAUAAAAGUGGUCUGUUACAGUACAGAAAAAUGCAGUAUGAUUUAUUAUUCUUUCAUACAACUGCCUUCAGAAGUCUUUUACAAGAUUAAAUAAUAGUUCCUGAGACUUCUUGAAGCCUGAACUUGGUGAAAAGAACUUAUCACAAGCAGCAUAUAUCUCCAGAGCUCAGGAGAUGAAUGGUAUCAGCAGAUUUCUUAUGGUGCUCAGGUAGUUGACUUCAGAUAGACAGACCCACAGGAAAUUUCUGUAAAAAAACUGAAAAUCUGUCUUGCUUCCAUGGCAAAGUUAAGUGAAUGAAGCAGUGGACUUGAAUGAAAGAUGAUAUUCUCCAGGAGAAAAAGCCCUAUUUUUUCUAGCCUUUGUUUUUCUCUUUUGUCUGUCAGAGUAAGGAGUUGCUUAUUUUCAGGCAUACUGGACAGUUUAUGUUCUUUUCUUGCCAUUUGGAGAUGUUGAAAUAAGAAAAUAGGAAUUGCAUGCUAUGCUCUGAUAUUUUUGAGAAUGGGUAGAGAAAGAGUAACAAAUUUUGCUGAUGCUCUUAAUUUUUGUGUGGAUUUCUCCAAUUUGAGAAUUCACUUCUGUUUAGUGAAUGCAUAUAGGUAGUGAAGAGAAUAAUCUGAACAGCAAGUUUUAUGGCAUACGUUAUGAGAGAUGUAAUAAUUUUACUUCUGUCUACAAACUUGAUUUGACUUUAAUUUGUGGUCUGGAUGCACGUUUAACCAUCUGGAUCUCAAGAAACACAUUUUUUACUAAAGGUGAUGGAGCACUGGCACAGGUUGCACAGGGGAUGGGGUGAUCUUCAGAAGCUGCUUGGGCAGCUGCUCUGGGUGGCCCUGCUGGAGCUGGGGCUGGGGCAGAUGGACCCAGGGCGCCCUUCCCACACUGACCAUUCUGUGAUCAUGUAAGUAUCUGAAGUAUAUGCGUGAAAGCAAUUCUAGUUUAGAUGGCUUAAAAUAUUUCUCAUGCUGGUUUUUUUUUUUUUUUUUUUUUUUGAGCUUCUUGGUGUUAGGUCUAAUGUAGUACAAUUUUUCUGUCAGUCCUUGUUUUGAAUGUCUGGUAGCUUUUUUUUUCAUUUAGAAAAGCACAGCAUAAUAUUCCUUAAUAUUUGUAUUUGUAGCAUCUUAAGUUGGCUAAAUGUCCAGAUAGAAUCCAAACAAAACAAACCAAAAGAAAAGGGUACACGAUAGUAAGAACUGAAUAGAAAAAAUACAUUGUUUGUUAUACUGACAUAGGUAUUAAAUUACAUGCAGGCAAUUGGAAUAUCUACUUGUGCACUGGUUACAUUAUCAAAUAUUAAAAUCCUAGACUGAUACACGUGUGUGAGAAAAACAAAAGAUCUUGAU
rnacentral:lncRNA from 1 species